AUCGAUGAAGACGCAGCGAAAUGCGAUAAGUAAUGUGAAUUGCAGAAUUCCAGUGAAUCAUCGAAUCUUUGGACGCACAUUGCGCCCCUUGGUAUUCCGGGGGGCAUGCCUGUUCGAGCGUCAUUUCAACCSUCACGCCCGGCGUGGUCUUGGSGCCCUACCCGCGAGGGUCAGAGCACUCUAAAACGCAGUGGCGGCGCCCUUCCAGGCCCUGAGCGUAGUACCUUUCUGCGCUAUAGGGCCCCGAAGGCCGCUYGCCAGCAACCCCAAUUYUUCCUGGUUGACCUCGGAUCAGGUAGGGAUACCCGCUGAACUUAAGCAUAUCAAUAAGCGGAGAAAAGAAACCAACAGGAUUGCCCCAGUA
rnacentral:rRNA from 1 species